AUUGAACGCUGGCGGCAUGCUUUACACAUGCAAGUCGAACGGUAACAGGGUGCUUGCACCGCUGACGAGUGGCGAACGGGUGAGUAAUGCGUCGGAACGUGCCGAGUAGUGGGGGAUAACGCAGCGAAAGUUGUGCUAAUACCGCAUACGUACUGAGGUAGAAAGUGGGGGACCUUCGGGCCUCACGCUAUUCGAGCGGCCGACGUCUGAUUAGCUAGUAGGUGAGGUAAAGGCUCACCUAGGCGACGAUCAGUAGCGGGUCUGAGAGGAUGAUCCGCCACACUGGGAAGGAGACACGGCCCAGACUCCUACGGGAGGCAGCAGUGGGGAAUUUUGGACAAUGGGCGAAAGCCUGAUCCAGCCAUGCCGCGUGUCUGAAGAAGGCCUUCGGGUUGUAAAGGACUUUUGUCAGGGAGGAAAUCCCCAGCGUUAAUACCGCUGGGGGAUGACAGUACCUGAAGAAUAAGCACCGGCUAACUACGUGCCAGCCGCCGCGGUAAAAC
rnacentral:rRNA from 1 species